UACGUAGGGGGCGAGCGUUGUCCGGAUUUAUUGGGCGUAAAGAGCUCGUAGGCGGUUUGGUAAGUUGGAUGUGAAAUCUCCAGGCUCAACUUGGAGGGGUCAUUCGAUACUGCCAUGACUAGAGUUCGGUAGGGGAGUGUGGAAUUCCUGGUGGAGCGGUGAAAUGCGCAGAUAUCAGGAGGAACACCGGUGGCGAAGGCGCCACUCUGGGCCGGCACUGACGCUGAGGAGCGAAAGCGUGGGUAGCAAACAGG
rnacentral:rRNA from 1 species